UAGGGAAUAUUGGUUAAUGGGCGAAAGCCUGACCCAGCAACGCCGCGUGCGCGAUGAAGGCCUUCGGGUUGUAAAGCGCUUUUGAGUGGGAUGAGGAAGGACAGUACCACUCGAAUAAGUCUCGGCUAACUACGUGCCAGCAGCCGCGGUAACACGUAGGAGACGAGCGUUAUCCGGAUUUACUGGGUGUAAAGCGCGUGCAGGCGGUUUGGAAAGUUGGAUGUGAAAGCUCCCGGCUUAACUGGGAGAGGUCGUUCAAAACUACCAGACUAGAGUACAGCAGAGGGGAGUGGAAUUCCGAGUGGAGCGGUAAAAUGCAUAGAUAUUCGGAAGAACACCAGUGGCGAAGGCGGCUCCCUGGGCUGAAACUGACGCUCAGACGCGAAAGCUAGGGUAGCGAACG
rnacentral:rRNA from 1 species